rnacentral:rRNA from 1 species
GGUGAACGCUGGCGGCGUGCCUAACACAUGCAAGUCGAACGACCGCACAUUAAGCGCUUUCUUUUACGGGUGGCGGUUGGCGGAUGUGUAAGGCAUAGAUCUCAAUCUACUUUUUCGUGGCGGACUACGUCGGUCCACUUCCGCUAAUACCGCAUAUCACCUACGGGUCAAAGCAGGGGAUCUACAGACCUUUCCCUUUUCAAUGAGCCGAUGCCGCAUUGGCUGGUCGGCGGGGUAAAGGCCUACCAUGGCGACGAACCGUAGCCUGCCUGAGAGGAUGAUCAGCAAAACUGGAAGUGAGACACGGUCCAGACUCCUACGGGAGGCAGCAGUGGGGAAUAUUCGGCAAUGGGCGCAAGCCUGAUCCAGCCAUACCGCGUGAGUGAAGAAGGCCUUCGGGUUGUAAAGCCCUGUUGUUGGGAAAGAACAGCAGUGGGUGUAUACCCCGCUGUGCUGACGGUACCUAAAGAAUAAGCACCGGCUAACUUCGUG